ensembl:lncRNA
UAUGAUUCCACCCUGGAUUAUUAGGAAACUAAGAACCUUCGUCGCUGGUUUCUCUAUUUUGGAAAUCAAUGAAAUACGUCUCUGUGUCUCUGCCUAUGUUGAAAACCAGAAAGCCCCAGAAGCUUCUCAGAGGCCAGGAGAAGCCAACAAUCCAUGCCUGUAGGAACACAGUGAUGCCAGAAGCAUGAAGUUGUCUGACUUUUCCCAUUUCACUCCUUGGGAGGUUGCAACCUGGAACUCUAUGGGAAAGCAGUGCAGUACUGCCUGCCAAUGCCCAGAGCUGGUUCUGGAAGCCCGGGAUCCACACUAGACUGUGAGACACACUGGAACUGGGUCCAGACGAUUCAGUCCAGACUAAGGCAUGCCUGGAGUAAAGCAGAAGUCCGCUCUCCAGAGUGUGGUAAAAGUUUUCAUUAGACUCUGCCGAAAUUUCCAGUUGAAACUGAGCGUCUAAAGGAUUCAUCAGUCUUCCUCUCUUCCCAAG